rnacentral:rRNA from 1 species
AGGGCACCACCAGGAGUGGAGCCUGUGGCUUAAUUUGACUCAACACGGGAAAUUUUACCAGGCCCAGACACUAGAAGGAUUGACAGAUUGAGAGCUCUUUCUUGAUUUGGUGGGUGGUGGUGCAUGGCCGUUCUUAGUUGGUGGAGUGAUUUGUCUGGUUAAUUCCGAUAACGAACGAGACUCUGGCCUACUAAAUAGACGGCGGAUCUUUGUGUCCGUCAUGUCUUCUUAGAGGGACAAGGCAGCUCCAAGCUGCGUGAAAUGGGGCAAUAACAGGUCUGUGAUGCCCUUAGAUGUUCUGGGCCGCACACGCGAUACACUGAAGGAGACAACGUGUUUGUCUGGCUCGAAAGGGUCGGGUAACCCGUUUAAUCUCCUUCGUGCUGGGGAUUGAGGUUUGUAAUUGUCCUUCAUGAACGAGGAAUUCCCAGUAAGUGCAAGCCAUAAGCUUGCGCUGACUACGUCCCUGCCCUUUGUACACACCGCCCGUCGCUACUACCGAUUGAAUGAUUUAGUGAG